rnacentral:rRNA from 1 species
GAUGAACGCUGGCGGCGUGCCUAAUACAUGCAAGUCGAGCGAACGGACGAGAAGCUUGCUUCUCUGAUGUUAGCGGCGGACGGGUGAGUAACACGUGGAUAACCUACCUAUAAGACUGGGAUAACUUCGGGAAACCGGAGCUAAUACCGGAUGAUAUUUUGAACCGCAUGGUUCAAAAGUGAAAGACGGUCUUGCUGUCACUUAUAGAUGGAUCCGCGCUGCAUUAGCUAGUUGGUAAGGUAACGGCCUACCAAGGCAACGACGCAUAGCCGACCUGAGAGGGUGAUCGGCCACACUGGAACUGAGACACGGUCCAGACUCCUACGGGAGGCAGCAGUAGGGAAUCUUCCGCAAUGGGCGAAAGCCUGACGGAGCAACGCCGCGUGAGUGAUGAAGGUCUUCGGAUCGUAAAACUCUGUUAUUAGGGAAGAACAUAUGUGUAAGUAACUGUGCACAUCUUGACGGUACCUAAUCAGAAAGCCACGGCUAACUACGUG